rnacentral:rRNA from 1 species
UGGGCAACCUGCCUUCAGCUCUGGGAUAACUCCAAGAAAUUGGGGCUAAUACCGGAUAUGACCGCUGACCGCAUGGUCUGGUGGUGGAAAGAUUCAUCGGCUGGGGAUGGGCCCGCGGCCUAUCAGCUUGUUGGUGGGGUAGUGGCCUACCAAGGCGACGACGGGUAGCCGGCCUGAGAGGGUGACCGGCCACACUGGGACUGAGACACGGCCCAGACUCCUACGGGAG